rnacentral:rRNA from 1 species
GUCCACGCGGUAAACGAUGAGUGCUAGGUGUAGGAGGUAUCGACCCCUUCUGUGCCGCAGUAAACACAAUAAGCACUCCGCCUGGGGAGUACGGCCGCAAGGUUGAAAACUCAAAGGAAUUGACGGGGGCCCGCACAAGCAGCGGAGCAUGUGGUUUAAUUCGAAGCAAACGCGAAAGAACCUUACCAGGUCUUGACAUCCAGUAAAACUUGUAGAGAUACAUCGUGACUUCGGUCAUACUGAGACAGGUGGUGCAUGGUUGUCGU